GCCCCCGUGGCGGAAUCGGUAGACGCAGCGGACUUAAAAUCCGCCGCUUUUGGCUUGUGGGUUCGAGUCCCACCGGGGGCACC
rnacentral:tRNA from 3 species